CAGGAAUGGAUCUUGACACCCCUGCUUUAGAGGUUUUUGAUCAGACACAUUCUGUAUUCUUGUUUGUGAACCAACGUUGGUUGUCCAGAAGGUAAGAGUUCCUGUCCUGAUUCUCUGUUUAAAGAGGUUCUCUGGUAGGCUGCAGGAGACUUUAGUGUUUGGGUUGUACUAGUUUGGUUUUUGUACUGACAAAAUGACUAUCUUGAGGCUCCUCCAUGUGGUUUAGUGAGGUUUUCUGGAACAGUUCUACAAAGUAACCUGCAGCAGAAGAGACUUUGAGAGUUUUUAGGAAGUUCUGGAGACCAGACUUUAGAGCAACAGAAACAUUUGUCAGCAGUUUGAGAAGGUGAGCUUUAGAGUAGAAAUAAGUCAGACAUUAGAAAAGAAUAAAAGGUGAGAAAAGAGCAAAACUAAACUUUUAAGAAGAAUCAAACUAAAGACAAAACAUUUGAAAAAGACCAGUUAGACUUUAGAAGAUCAAAUUAAACAGAAGAGACAAAACGAUCAAAAAGAGCAAACACAGAUAAAGGUCUAAAAGUGUUUUCUAGUCUGAAAUGAAAACAUCAAGUUGUUUCUUCAAACAUUUCCUCUUUCUAUGUUCUUGGUUUAAUUGUGGACAGAUUUACUAAGAACUCAUUUCAGAAAACUAAAACACAUGAAAUCUACUAGUAGCUGAAGGCAUUGAUCAAACUAAUGUUACCUUCUAAACUCCACAAACUUUAUUGUUCAGUGAAGAGAAACAAAGUUUGUUCAGGAUUUCAAAAGAACCCACAGGUGAAGGUCUGAGAAGAACUCAGAUGGAUGGUCUAAAUGUGAACUCAAGACUCAUGGUCACAAGUUUUAAGGCUUCUGUUAACCAGAAAGUUCAAACUAGCAGAGGAUACGGAGAAACUUUUAAAAUGUCAGUCCUCAGACUGUCGAAAGGUUCAAACUAACAGUGAACUACUCAGGAACUUAGAAGAUAUAAGUCCUUGGACUGUAUGAAAGUUAAAUCUAACAGAGAUCUAAUGUGGGACUUAGAAAAUUUCAGUCCUCAGACUGUGUGAAAGCUCAGGUCCUGAGGACUCGGGAGGAUCAGGAGGCUUUGGAAAGUCUUGGAACUGAGGGUUCAACCCUCUAGCACAAAGGCUGAAGUCCAGCCUCCAGAGAAAAAUGCUUUAUUAUCAUUUGUUAGGACUUUAAUGGAAGUCACCAGCAGAUUUAGUUUUUGUUGAGAAACUUUAUUCUUGUCGUCGUGGGACUGCAGUAUUUAAAACUGUUCCUUAUAUUUGACCUCAUGUUUAUUAGUUUUAGUGGAGAAAGUUAUUUUAAUUGUGGAUUAGUCUCUUAAAAACCAAAUAAACUGCAUUCUUCAAGAGGUUUAAAUUUCUUAUUUUGUCACAUUUUAAAUAUGACAAAAAAAUAUAAAAAAGCGUCUUGAGACAAUUUAACCUGUAACUGGCAUUAAAUAAAUAAAAUUGUAUGUAUCUUGUAAUGUUGAAGUAAUUCAGACAUAUAUGUUGGAAAAGACAUUUUCUUUGUCCAUUAAUCUGUUGAUUGUCCGUCCAUCCAUCUAUUCUCUAUACACCGCUUUAUCCUCUCUAGGGUUGCGGGGGGUGUUGGAGCCUAUCCCAGCUGACUUGGGUGAAGACCUGACCGUGAACACCGCUGACACCCACCUGAGGGAGACGCUGCCUAAGAUCUCAAAGCUGCUUGGUCGUGGUCUUUCUGGUCCUGCUGGUGAACAUCUUCAUCAACUACGUUUUCUUUUGAAGAGGCCCUCAGAUGCUGCAAUCUCUGACCUUAAAGAGGAACUGCUACUUUCACUCUGUAACGACACGGCGGUUAUUUUAAAGACCCAGCUCCUGGCGGCCUUGAGUGAAAAUUUAACAUCCAUCAAAACAAAAAAAUACUAAUAAAAAACAAAAACAUCCAUCAAAACAGAACUGCAGACAGUUAAAUCUGAGCUGUCGGUCAGUAUUUCAAACAUCAGUCCAACCCGGGUGCCCUAAAGCACGCUGUGGGUGAAACGGAAACUUCAGUCUCCACAUCACCGACGACAUCGUCACACUCCAAAGCAAAACACCUGACUGCUGAACUUUUAAAAGUGGACUAUAAAGGUGAAGACUGUGAACAGCAGAACAGAUGUGAUCAGAAAGAAGUCAUUUUCUUUUUUCUUUUCUUUCUGAUUGACUUGAUGCUGUCAGAUGCAGAUGUUGGAGCUGAUUCUGAUCUUUCAGGAUAAAAAGCUGCUUUUCCUUCACAGACUUUAUAGGAAAUUAUUCUCUCAGAUUUUCUCUGCUAUUUAUAUUUUUAUUAUCUGUGAUUAUUUCAUUAUUGUAAAAUAAAGUUGGAGGCAUAACGACUCAUUUAGUUAUUUUAUUCCUGAAAUCUUUGACAUAGCAGAACUAAACUUCCAUUUUCCUUCUUGUACUUCUGAUACUAGAACUAAAUGUGUCUUCAACACGGAUCAUCUGGUUUUAAUGAAUCAGCAGUAACAUCACAACAACAAAUGAGACAAUUUUCAAGAAAUUAAUGAAACUGAUGUCAUUUAAAACUAUCAGAGUCUGUUUUAGUGUCAAAUUAAAACUGAUUACUGACAAUUAGAACAUUAAUGUUACAGUUUUAAUCACAUUUAAGUUUCCUGAAUGUUACAUUAACAUCAACCAGCCACAGUUUUAUGAAUUUAAUGAACCACAUUACAGGAACACAACACACUUAAGCUGCUGACAGGAAACAACACAAACAUCGUUAGCUUGAUGCUACAUUUAGCUGCUAAUCAGGACUGGUCAGCUAGCUCGGUUAGCAUUGCAAAUUCACAUUAAAGCUAAUAUUCACUGGAUGCUAACUCUCUUCUCUGGUCAACACGCAGAGAAAUAAACUCCACCAACUCCUGGGGUUCACUGCUCACAUUAUAUCUGAAUUUAAAGUUUAACAUAAAGUUCAUUAAAACAGGCACUGAUCAGUAAAUUAUCAUUUAUUAUUUUAUUAGUCCUUCAGUGUCUAUUGGUCCAAUCAGCCGAAGGACUGAAUUACUGAACUGAAAACUGAUUAAAACAAGACAACGGACAGUAAAACUGUCUGUGGAAAAUGUGCUGCUGCUCCACCGAUAAAUACCAACAAACUAAAACAAACUGAAAGUGUUGCUUUUCGUGAUUUUUUUCAAUAGCAAAUAUGAGGCUUUUAUUUUUCUGUAAGUAAAAGGAAACGUUGCUUAUCUGUAGUUUCACUAACUUAAUUUUAGCUGCACUUUCACCAUGUUCUAACUGAUUGAUCAUUUUUUAAAUAUUAAAAUAGCUGCACUUCCUUUGUAUAUUUGGUCGUUUCUUGUGUUGCUGCUGUUUCAUUGCAACUAUAUUUUAAUAAUGUCACUUUAAAUGCAGAUAAUUGAAAAGAAAAGGCUCUGAAAUAGUCAAUUAACUGAGGCAUCAUCUAGUGUUAAACUGAAUAUGAAUUCUUAAUAAUAUAAAAUGUAACUGACUGAGCUGUAUUAAUUAUAUUGAGAUAUUUCAAAUUGAAAGAAACACAACAUUGACUGAAAGAUUUCAGUCAAUUAAACCUUAAAUUCAUUUACCUAAGAAAACCAUCCUUGAAUGUCUUACCUUAAAAUUACCAACAUUUUUUAAAAAUAUAAAUGUAAAGUAAAAGUUUCACGCUAAAGAUGAACAUUUAAUGGCAUGAAAACAAUUAUUAUGAGGAAACAGAUAUCCAUUUCUAAUAUUUCCAUCAAAAAUGCGUAUGUCUAUAAAAUAUACUGGACAUCAAUAAAAAUGUCUGCAUAGUAAAAUAUAUGAAGUCCAUCUGCAUUUAUACAUCAUAUUGAUGUUUAAAUAACGGGAACAGCAGCCCACGUUCAGUCAAGUUAGCAGGAAUUACGGAUAAACAAUGUUUCCAGGGUUCUCUACAAAAUAAAAGCCGUGAUUUGUUUUACGGAAAAAAUACAUGAUUUCAAAAAUAUGACUUUGAAAAUGUAAAUCAAACUGUACUAAGCGUUAGCUAGCUGCUCCACUUGCUCUGAAUAUUUUUGUUCUCAUCUUUGUGUACUCCAAGCGAAAAAUUAAUCCAAAUUCUGGCAGCAUUACCGACAACAGUAUCCAUACAGUGACCGGAAGUUAGCCGACCUAGCGGAAGUGCUAAUGAGGUCUGCUCUGGCAUGGAUCAUUACCGUCACACAUGCAGCUUAAAAAUAAAUCCUGUCCAAGACACAGAGCUGUAGCUCCGUUUCAGUGUAAGCUCUGAUGUUUUUCUGAGUGACUGUGUCUGACUUCCUCUAAUAAAAUUCUCCUGUCCACUGGGAA